GUCCACGCCCUAAACUAUGGAUACUAAGUGUCGGCGGGUUACCGCCGGUGCCGCAGCUAACGCAUUAAGUAUCCCGCCUGGGAAGUACGGCCGCAAGGUUGAAACUCAAAGGAAUUGACGGGGGCCCGCACAAGCGGUGGAGCAUGUGGUUUAAUUCGACGCAACGCGAAGAACCUUACCCAGGUUGGACAUGCACGUAGUAGAAAGGUGAAAGCCUGACGAGGUAGCAAUACCAGCGUGCUCAGGUGCUGCAUGGCUGUCGU
rnacentral:rRNA from 1 species